rnacentral:rRNA from 1 species
CAGACGAUGCGUCAUGCAUAUCAAUAAGCGGAGGAAAAGAAACUAACAAGGAUUCCCCUAGUAACGGCGAGUGAAGCGGGAAGAGCUCAAAUUUGAAAUCUUAAAGGGUUUCCCUUUACGAAUUGUAGUUUAAAGAAGUGUUUUCUGUUGAGGUUUUGGUAAAAGUUCUUUGGAAUAGGACAGUCAUAGAGGGUGAGAAUCCCGUAUUUGACCUUUACUUUCAACUUUGUGAUACACUUUCAAAGAGUCGGAUUGUUUGGGAAUGCAGUCCAAAAUGGGUGGUAAAUUUCAUCUAAAGCUAAAUAUUGGCGAGAGACCGAUAGCGAACAAGUACCGUGAGGGAAAGAUGAAAAGAACUUUGAAAAGAGAGUUAAACAGUACGUGAAAUUGUCAAAAGGGAAGCGUUUGACACCAGUGUUGUUUUUCUGAAAAUCAAUUAAAGAACUGUUUAUGCUAAGCUGUUUAGACUUUAUCAGCUAUCUGUUUAGUUUUGAGCUUUUCUUUAAUGCACCUUUCAGUUAACAAGUCAACAUCAAUUUCUUUUGCUGUAAAAAAGCUUGAGGAAGGUGGCUUGAGAUUCGUCUUAAGUGUUUAUAGCCUCUUGCCUAUGCAGUCGGAGAGAUUGAGGUCUGCAGCGUAGAUCCUUCGGGGCUAAAUGCAUUUGUGCUAAGUUAUAGCAUUUCAUAGACAACUUGUUGACUAUGAUUUGUCUUGUAGCUUACUCGCUUAUGUUAUUUUACCUACGCUUAGGAUGUUGAAUCUGUGCGAGACUAC